UCGCCAAUGUUUUCACUUAUUUCAAAAGGUCCUUACAGCCUACAACCGCAAAAGAAACAAAACCCACCAGCGAGGUAAUAACUGCGGUUCUUGAGGUAGAUAAACUUACAGUUUAGCUGUUAGUAGAGACGCUGCUGUCGUGAGAGAUGCACAGACUCGGGAAAGAAACAAAGUGAAGGAAGUCAGCAGUGUAGUUUACCUUGCCUACGAGCUUCCCCCUGCGGUUCAUACACAGGUAAUAAUUGGUUUCCUUCCCUCGGAUUCGCACCUGGCUGCCGAAGGUGUCUGCCUCCACUACGAGCUGGGCUUGUGAAGAGACAGGCAGAGAGACAGACAGACGUUACUAAAAUAUCACGGUUAACUCACCUGUAGAGGAUUACACAUGACCAGCAUAAUCUGGAUAUACCUGAGGAGCCAGAGAGAGAGAGCAAUCAAGGUCAGGUACAGACUUUAAAACAAACACACGCAGCCCAGUGGACUGACGCUGAGCUAAACUUUGCCUCUCAGCGCUGCAGUCGGCACAAGUCUACAUGAUGCUGGUCAACACCUGCUCAACAGAAGAGUGAAUCAGAUAUCGCUCUCUCUGGGUGGUGUGGGUGUGGUCAGUGAUGUCACUCAUUGAGAAGGCGAGAGUGGGUGUGAACAGAGAAAAAAAAAGCGGAACCCAUCACUUCCUCCUUAUCGUCUCGCCAGUGACCCCGCGACCUCCCCAUGACCGAAUGUCUGAGAUCAUGAGCGUGUGGAGAAUGAAAGACUCCCCCACACUGCCUCAGCUAUGAAGAGAUAUGAGAGAGAAGAAGGAAGCGUCUCACCAGCUGACAGCUGCAACGAAACAGACACACACAUGUACACGCUCUCUCCAUCAUGCCUGUCAACACACACUUAAUGUACACAUGCACUCAUAACGCCACCCUCACAUCCAAUCAUACUGCUCGACAAAACCACACAAUUAAAGGAAUGGUUCAGUACAAGUUAAUGGAAAAGUUCACCCAAAACUUUGUAGUUUACUCACCCAAAAUUGGUGGUAGAAACAAUUUUUACUCAAACGUUGCUAGUAAAUUUCACAAACAAUUACAAAGAAAUGGGUAUUAGAAACGUCUGUUUUUUUUUUGUUUUUUUUUUAAUUUGUUUUGCAGAAUGUCCAAUCUGCUGCUUUCCUUACAGUGAAAGUGGUGGGAUGGAUGCUGUUGAGCUAUAAAAAUAAAUAAAUAAAUAAAUAAAAUAAAAUAAAAUAAUGUCCAUAUAAAAUUAUCAUAACAUAAGGAUUAUCAGUUUUUAGAUUUUUAAAUUAAAUUUUUAAUGAAAUUUUAGUUUGUUCCUCACACAACACUUCAUAUGCUUCAGAAGACUUGGAAUAUAGUACACAAGUCAUAAGGACUACUAUGAUUUUGUUUUUGUUUUUUAAAUGCUUGUUUUAUAAACUAUAAAGUAAGCAAAUUUUUCACACAGCUCUAUAUAUAAAGUUGUGUGUGUGUGUGUGUAUUAUGUGUGUGUGUAUAUAUAUAUAUAUAUAUAUAUACACACACACACACACACACACACACAGUACACUCACGUAAAGCGAUAUAUAGCAAAUCUGAACUGCUUGAUUACAUGUAUUGUUGCAAAAUGUAAACUAUAUUAUCACCCUGCUCUAAUCUGCUAAAUGUGAUUACAUGUUACAUAUUAAGAUAUUAUCAAUAUUAACAUCAUGAUUCUCUGUAAAGCUGCUUUAACAAUACACAUUUCUGAAAAGCGCUAUACAAAUACAUUUGACUUGACAUUCAACAGUAAAAACAAGCAGAAAUCAGACUGAAAUGUAUUGUCUGUGGUAAUGCACAGCAUAUCAUAAAUGCUGUACAUAAAACUUAACU